rnacentral:tRNA from 2 species
GUAAAAAUGCCAGAGAUUUUUAUGGGGUUGGUUUAGGACUAAUUUACAGCUUGUUAAGCUUUUUUACU